AGAGUUUGAUCCUGGCUCAGGAUGAACGCUAGCGGCAGGCUUAAUACAUGCAAGUCGAGGGGUAGCAUGAUUGUAGCAAUACAAUUGAUGACGACCGGCAAACGGGUGCGGAACACGUACACAACCUUCCUACAAGUGGGGAAUAGCCCAGAGAAAUUUGGAUUAAUACCCCGUAACAUAGCGAUGUGGCAUCACAUUGCUAUUAUAGCUUCGGCGCUUGUUGAUGGGUGUGCGGCUGAUUAGAUAGUUGGCGGGGUAACGGCCCACCAAGUCUACGAUCAGUAGCUGAUGUGAGAGCAUGAUCAGCCACACGGGCACUGAGACACGGGCCCGACUCCUACGGGAGGCAGCAGUAAGGAAUAUUGGACAAUGGACGCAAGUCUGAUCCAGCCAUGCCGCGUGAAGGAUUAAGGUCCUCUGGAUUGUAAACUUCUUUUAUAAGGGACGAAGAAAGGUCUUUCUAGAUCGUCUGACGGUACCUUAUGAAUAAGCACCGGCUAACUCCGUGCCAGCAGCCGCGGUAAUACGGAGGGUGCAAGCGUUAUCCGGAUUCACUGNGUUUAAAGGGUGCGUAGGCGGGCAGGUAAGUCAGUGGUGAAAUCCUAGAG
rnacentral:rRNA from 1 species